GGCGUGCUUACACAUGCAAGUCGAACGAAGAUAUUUAGAAUGAGAGCUUCGGCAGGAUUUUUAUCUAUCUUAGUGGCGGACGGGUGAGUAACGUGUGGGCAACCUGCCCUGUACUGUGGAAUAAUCAUUGGAAACGAUGACUAAUACCGCAUGUGGUCCUCGGAAGGCAUCUUCUGAGGAAGAAAGGAUUUAUUCGGUACAGGAUGGGCCCGCAUCUGAUUAGCUAGUUGGUGAGAUAACAGCCCACCAAGGCGACGAUCAGUAGCCGACCUGAGAGGGUGAUCGGCCACAUUGGGACUGAGACACGGCCCAAACUCCUACGGGAGGCAGCAGUGGGGAAUAUUGCACAAUGGGCGAAAGCCUGAUGCAGCAACGCCGCGUGAAGGAUGAAGGGUUUCGGCUCGUAAACUUCUAUCAAUAGGGAAGAAACAAAUGACGGUACCUAAAUAAGAAGCCCCGGCUAACUACGUGCCAGCAGCCGCGGUAAUACGUAGGGGGCAAGCGUUAUCCGGAAUUACUGGGUGUAAAGGGAGCGUAGGCGGCAUGGUAAGCCAGAUGUGAAAGCCUUGGGCUUAACCCGAGGACUGCAUUUGGAACUAUCAAGCUAGAGUACAGGAGAGGAAAGCGGAAUUCCUAGUGUAGCGGUGAAAUGCGUAGAUAUUAGGAAGAACACCAGUGGCGAAGGCGGCUUUCUGGACUGAAACUGACGCUGAGGCUCGAAAGCGUGGGGAGCAAACAGGAUUAGAUACCCUGGUAGUCCACGCCGUAAAACGAUGAGUGCUAGGUGUCGGGGAGGAAUCCUCGGUGCCGCAGCUAACGCAAUAAGCACUCCACCUGGGGAGUACGACCGCAAGGUUGAAACUCAAAGGAAUUGACGGGGGCCCGCACAAGCGGUGGAGCAUGUGGUUUAAUUCGAAGCAACGCGAAGAACCUUACCAAGGCUUGACAUCCCGAUGACCGUCCUAGAGAUAGGACUUCUCUUCGGAGCAUCGGUGACAGGUGGUGCAUGGUUGUCGUCAGCUCGUGUCGUGAGAUGUUGGGUUAAGUCCCGCAACGAGCGCAACCCUUAUCUUCAGUAGCCAUCAUUCAGUUGGGCACUCUGGAGAGACUGCCGUGGAUAACACGGAGGAAGGUGGGGAUGACGUCAAAUCAUCAUGCCCCUUAUGUCUUGGGCUACACACGUGCUACAAUGGCUGGUAACAAAGUGACGCGAGACGGCGACGUUAAGCAAAUCACAAAAACCCAGUCCCAGUUCGGAUUGUAGUCUGCAACUCGACUACAUGAAGCUGGAAUCGCUAGUAAUCGCGAAUCAGCAUGUCGCGGUGAAUACGUUCCCGGGCCUUGUACACACCGCCCGUCACACCAUGGGAGUUGGAAGCACCCGAAGUCGGUGACCUAACCGUAAGGAAGGAGCCGCCGAAGGUGAAGCCAGUGACUG
rnacentral:rRNA from 1 species